ACAGUGAACUUUCCAAUAUCGGAACCCGCCACAAAGUAUGCUGUGAGUUCACCACAAAAUUGAAUUAAAUUCCUAUUCAGGUAAUGAACAAGCUAUAUGAAGGGUAGUGCAAUGUCUUUGACUGAUUUACACAUUAUUAGAAGGGUAGACAAUUUCUUAAAAUUCUACCAACUUUUUUUUAUGUUGUAAUGUAGGAUGAAAAGAAGCAAUGGGUUAGGAGAUAGAAAAGUGUUGGCAGAUGGUCACGUGAUCCUUUGCUACCUAACACCCCCCAACAUUUCAGUCACGUGUCUCUCUUUGUAACAUUUGACACUUUGGGUCCUACUGAAACUGCCGAGAGGAAAAUCUCCUAGCCUUGAAAAUG
rnacentral:lncRNA from 1 species